AUGGCCUCCUCCGCGUUCUCCAUCAGGAGGUACGCGGAGAGCAUGAGGGUCGAGGCGGCGGCGGAGGGUCGUCGUCCUUCGUACAUCGAGGAUCUGCCGCCUAUCAAGGCGCCGAGGUUCUCGUGGUGGGCGGACGAGCUCGCCUCCGCCGUGGCUGCUGCUGGUGCUGCUAAGCCGCUGAAAAAGCGGUCCAUCUCUGACCUCUUUGACCCGGCGCCAGCCUUGGACGUGCCUCCCGGCGGUGAUAGUGGAUGCAACGAGCAAACGGAGGUAGACGGCGACGAGGCGCUGUGCACCAUCGUGAGGCAGGCCAAGGAGGAGAAGUGGAAGAGGAGACGGCAGGGGGAGGAGGACGAGGAGGCGGCAGCGACUGCAGCGCCGGAGAACACCGGAGGACGAGAGCCUGAGGGGAAUUUCGCGGCCACAAAGGACACACUUGAAAGUCCAAACUUCCCUGAUGGACUGGAUACUCAUCUAUCACAGAAACAUGAGACUACACAGCAUCACAGAAAAGAGACAGAAAAUAUAUCAGAGCAGAUCAAUAAUGCGAAGAAGGCUGACACACAAAAAUGCAUUGAUAAUAAUAAAAAGUGCAUUCUAACGUACACAAGGCGCACAUCCGUGAAAAUGGCCAAGGAGAAACAUGGCAAGUCGAAGGACAAGGAGGUAGUAGAACUCUGCCGCAAAUCAGUGAACCAUGUCAACUUCUCAGAAGCAGAUGGUGUACUUGGCAGUAAGAUGCAUAGUUGUGAGCUACCUGAACAGCAAAGUCUGUGCAAACUGUUGUCGGAUGCAAUGGCUUCUUCAUCUUCGCCAUCAUCAUCCAUGUCUAUGGGAGAAGAAAAAUGUGCAACUGUAGAAAGUAGUAAUUCUCAUAUGCCCAAGGAAGCAUUCACCAAAAGUAACGAAGCAAAUAGGCGUUACGAUCAUGAUGACUCUGCUGAGCUUAGUAAGAUGUCUGCUCCAUUGAUUGAUCUGAAUAUGGCACCACCGGAAUGUACUUAUUUGGACUGCACCUAUGAUUCGAAUUUGGAGGUGCCCAAUCUUCAAAAUACACAUGGCGAAACUUUUAAUUCAGAUGCUGAAUUGCUUGAUGGCAGAGAAAACUGGAUGAAUUUGUCUUCCGAUUCACAGAAACUGGAAAACCAACCACCUGCUGUUGACAUGGAAAGAGUAAGGAGUUCAAGAUCGGCAGACACAUAUUUGCAUGGAGAGGCAAAGAAAGCUUGUGACGCAGAUGUUGUUGGUCCACCAUUGAGCUUAAGAGAACUCGGUGAGACUAGUCCUUCUACGAGACAGACAGUUCGUUUGAUGGGCAAAGAUGUCGAAGUUUGCAUGACCAGAGGUGAAUCGUUUGCCGAGACUGCACAGAAACAUAAAGUAAAUUCUACCAGUUCAAUUCAAGCUUCAACAUAUCAUGCAAGCACAAGCCAGGCACAUUUUGAAUACAUGACUCCACAUGAUUCCAGUAGCCUGUUUGCUACAGCACAUGUAUCUUCUGGAGCUCGACUGCCAUAUGAAAACAGGUAUGGGGAUUUUUCAAACUUGCAGACCAAUCAGCCUUUUCUAUUGGGGUGUCCACCUCCUCCCAGUUAUGGUGCAGCAUUCUAUCAGCUGAAUCCGCCGCCUCCUCGUGGUUAUUUCUCUGAUCCUAUCCCUGGGGAAGAACCACCGGCAGCACCAUUUUUGCCUAUAACCGGACAGCAUGGGGCACCAUCUUCAGUUUGCCAUGCCAAUUCGCCUCGGCAACAAAUUGUAGAUUCAGCAAGCUCGUCUGUUUGUGUUCUUAACUCCGUGAGUUAUACACUCAGCCAUCCAGGCCAUGCAAUUCAAGAAGUUUCCAACCAUUCGUCGAGUGGUCGGGGUGUGCAGGAGAGAUCAGGACUGGUGAAGCUCACUCCCGGGGCAAAGCAUAUACUGGUGCCAAGCGAUAGCACGCAUGGCAACUCUGUGCCGGUGCACUCCUGUUUACCAUUUGGUAGUAGGAGCGGAAAUGCUGCAGGGUCUGAAAAUAAAGGAGCCUGGUCGGCACUGCUUUAA
rnacentral:rRNA from 1 species